CUCCACAGUGGACUGUGUGUGGUCCUGUAUUGUGGGCUGCUACACCACAGAAGAUUACUUUCUGGUUAAAGAUGGGGUGUUUCAUCUCCUCGACUUACUCAGUACUAGCCCCAGGUGUGUACACGGCAUCGUCCUCGCCACCCUGCUAGAGUUAUGUGACAACCCA